UCGUGAGACAGUUCGGUCCCUAUCUGCCGUGGGCGCUGGAGAAUUGAGGGGGGCUGCUCCUAGUACGAGAGGACCGGGAGUGGACGCAUCACUGGUGUUCGGGUUGUCAUGCCAAUGGCACUGCCCGGUAGCUAAAUGCGGAAGAGAUAAGUGCUGAAAGCAUCUAAGCACGAAACUUGCCCCGAGAUGAGUUCUCCCUGAGACUUUAAGUCUCCUGAAGGAACGUUAAAGACGAUGACGUUGAUAGGCCGGGUGUGUAAGCGCAGCGAUGCGUUGAGCUAACCGGUACUAAUGAACCGUGAGGCUUAACCUUACAACGCCGAAG
rnacentral:rRNA from 1 species